GGUGGGGUGGCCGAGUGGUUGAAGGCGCCGGUCUUGAAAACCGGUAGGGGGCUCGUCUCCCUCGCAGGUUCGAAUCCUGUCCCCACCG
rnacentral:tRNA from 1 species